rnacentral:rRNA from 1 species
UUGCUUCUCUUGAGAGCGGCGGACGGGUGAGUAAUGCCUAGGAAUCUGCCUGGUAGUGGGGGAUAACGUCCGGAAACGGACGCUAAUACCGCAUACGUCCUACGGGAGAAAGCAGGGGACCUUCGGGCCUUGCGCUAUCAGAUGAGCCUAGGUCGGAUUAGCUAGUUGGUGGGGUAAUGGCUCACCAAGGCGACGAUCCGUAACUGGUCUGAGAGGAUGAUCAGUCACACUGGAACUGAGACACGGUCCAGACUCCUACGGGAGGCAGCAGUGGGGAAUAUUGGACAAUGGGCGAAAGCCUGAUCCAGCCAUGCCGCGUGUGUGAAGAAGGUCUUCGGAUUGUAAAGCACUUUAAGUUGGGAGGAAGGGCAGUAAAUUAAUACUUUGCUGUUUUGACGUUACCGACAGAAUAAGCACCGGCUAACUCUGUGCCAGCAGCCGCGGUAAUACAGAGGGUGCAAGCGUUAAUCGGAAUUACUGGGCGUAAAGCGCGCGUAGGUGGUUCGUUAAGUUGGAUGUGAAAUCCCCGGGCUCAACCUGGGAACUGCAUUCAAAACUGACGAGCUAGAGUAUGGUAGAGGGUGGUGGAAUUUCCUGUGUAGCGGUGAAAUGCGUAGAUAUAGGAAGGAACACCAGUGGCGAAGCGACCACCUGGACUGAUACUGACACUGAGGUGCGAAAGCGUGGGGA